ACGAUCAUACCAGCACUAAUUAGCACACCAGAUCCUAUCAAAACUCCUCAGUUAAGUCUACUUGGACGAGAGUAGUACUAGGAUGGGUGACCUCCUGGGAAGUCCUUGUGUUUUACCC